AUACCAGUUCAAUAUGUCUGCUUAACUUGCAAAUGUUUUGCAGAGCAUAUCUUAAAAUGACACUGGUAAAAUAAAGCCACAGUACGAGCCUUGAAGGCUUUGUUGCCUUUGAGGUCCCAUGAGAUGGCUACAUCU
rfam:Colius striatus contig70305, whole genome shotgun sequence.